rnacentral:lncRNA from 1 species
GGACUACUGCCCCUGCUGGCNNNNNNNNNNNGGUUUCAUUACGGCUUCUGGGAAUAAAAUUGCUAACGGCCCCCAGAUUAUCAAGCUACUAGAUGAACUCCACCAGCCUAAAGAGGUAGCAGUAAUUCAUGUGUGAGCCCAUGGGAAGGCUGCUGAGGAAAAGCAUAACCUUGGAAACGCAAGGGCUGAUGCAGCAGCAAAGGAAGCUGCAUUAAUUGGUGGAGAGGCGGAGGAAGUAUCCAGGCAGGCCUUGUCCCAUGCCGUACGGCCAUACUUCCGGGAUCUAGUCCCGCAGUAUUCCCCUGAAGAAGAUAAAAUUUGCACGGGAGGCUCACGCAGAAAAGAACUCCCAGGGGUGGUGGAUAGUACCAGGAGGGAAAGUCAUGAUACCCAGGCCAUUGCUUCGGGAGGUGCUGCACCAGCUCCAUGCAAGUACCCAUAUGGCAAGCUUGGCUAUGGGUGAUCUAGUGAUCCACCAAGCAGUAGCCCCAGGGCUAUAUGUAGAAGCUCAGCGCAUUGCUACCAGGUGCAGCACAUGUCAGAAAGUAAACCCUCGAACAAAACCUCCUGUGCCAAUGGGAGGUAGACCCUGGGCAGCGUCCCCUAGACAAGCAUGGCAGAUUGAUUCUGCCGAGCUCCCACGGUCCGGACAUCAUAGGUUUUUACUUGUCAUGGUAGACCAGCUCUCCGGUUGGGUUGAGACAUGGCCCACUGCGGCUACAGCAGUGAAGUAUCUGUUGCAGGAGAUCAUUCCCUGGUAUUCUCUGCCCGAAUCCAUCGAGUCAGCUCAAGGACAACACUUUGUGGGAAAGUUAGUUCAAGAAGUCGCAUAAGCCUUCAAGAUCACUUGGAAACUACACACACCAUGGAGACCACAGAGUUCAGGACAAGUGGAACGCAUGAAUAGGACCUUAAAAAACUCUACUCACCAAGAUCUGUAUUGAAGCACACCUUAAGUGGCCUCAGGCAUUGUUGCUAGCUCUUACUUGCAUUCGAAAUACUCCCUGACGGGGCAUUAAAUUAACCCCAUAUGAAAUUAUGUUUGGCAUGCCUCCUCGAGUCUUACCUCCUGGGAUGC